AUAUAUAUAGGUAACAGACAACAGCUACGCAUGCGCGUAUGUACUGGUUUCUAAUCAAAUGAUACAGCAACGAGACAUGGGUAAUGGAAAGAUGAUAUCGAAGAUGAAAAAGCGACCAUGCAUAGGCAAAACACUUUUUCGUAAUUGCAAGAUUAAAAUGCCCUCUCCAUCAAGCGACCCUCUGUGACACGUUUAAAAAAUCGAAUUCUUUUUUUGAAAGAUCGAUUGAAGGCGCGCUAACACAAGCGUUCCCCAAGCUAGCGAUCUUCGCCGCUUCAAUAAUCUCACGUGUUGUUUGCGUUGGGCUUCUUCCUAUCACAGUGCACUGAUUAUAAAUGGGACUGCACCCAUGUUUCCUGCAGUGAAAAGCCAGAUGCCCCACUCCCAGUUAGCACAUUAUUUGCGUGUUCACGCAACCUAUCAUUUACGCAACUUCCCGUUUGACCGAUGUGCUUUUUGCCGCACAACAGGGGCAGUUCAUACACGAGAUAUUGUUCUCACAAAGAACAUAGCCUUCCUUGUGAUUUGUCCGGCAACUGGGCUUCUCAGAACCACAGUAGCUGGCCUUGCACAAGUUGGACAGCUUGAUUGGCGCUGAAAAGAUGACGCUUACAUUUGCGUUAUUAACAAUCUUCUUCAGUCUAUGCGAGAUAUCGUGGAUGUACGGUAUUAUUGCGCGUUUCUGCUUCACUCGCGCAAUUUUCAGUGAAGUGAACUGCUCAUCCUGUCGCCUGCGUUUUGCGGUCUUAGGGAGACCUUCGGCCACAGCUGUGAUGAUAUGCUGCGGAAAACCGGCCUGUUUCAGGCGAUCGACUAAUUGCGCCAGAAAACUGGCCAAACACUUGUGAGGACAUGAGCGGCGAAGCGCAUUCAUUAGGGUUGACUGCGAUGCCCCUUUGAACCAACUUUUUGAGGGACACCACGUGUGCUGGGCAUAUGAACCGCGGACGAACAAGCCGCUACUGCCAUUUUCAUCGGGCCACUCUAAGCAUACAGAGCGGACACUCCGAGAAAUCGGGCAUCAAGAACUGCGUCACGGCUACAUAACGAACUAGUGCUCUCACCAAACGCCAGAGGACGCAGGCGCAGAAAAAGAAAAUGUUGUAAUGAAUUCUGCUCAGUCGUUUUACAAAAUAAUAAUUAUACGCCCAAAUUUGGCGUGUUUCUUAUGCAUAAAAAUAGCAUUGAUCCAAGACACCUUCCGUGCUUUUUGUUUUUCAUUCGUGCUGCUAUAGUGAACUAUCUAGAACACCGUAGUGCUGCCAUAUCAACACCAAUCACCAUUCGUCCAUCGAGAAGAAAUCAACGAUUCGUGUACCAGCGGCGUUCCAGCGGGAAGGUUUCGUGAACGUCGGCUGCGGCGGUGUUUUCGUGUGUGAGACAGACUGCGCUGAUGCCAUGCCGUCUGGCGGUCCAAGCUACGGCAGCUACUGCUGUGUGUCGUGGUGCUUUAACAACGGCAGAACCCAGAAGAAGCCUAUCUUGCCUUGGAAUAAAGACAUUGCGCAAA